GGGAAAAAACGGAGCUUCAUUCUAACACAGCUAGAAAAAUAUUGGCAGAUAAAUAGUGUAGAAUAUGCUGAUUAGGCAGACUUUGCAUACCACAGUAACCACCUCAAAUCACAUUACAUAGUAUAGCUUUCUUUAGAUAACCUAUUAAGGGCUCUCUGAGACAUGUACACAGCAGUGGAUGCUGAAUUUACUAAAGCAGUUAAAAUCCAAAGCUUAGUUGUGACCAUGCCUUUUCUUUACAUUCAAGUAGUAAAGUGACUUGCAAAAUUCUUCAACAUUCUUGUUGUAUUUAUAAGCACUUGAAUUCAAAGCUCCUCACAACCACAAACUAAAAAAAAACCUCCUCACGAAGUCUUCAUCAAUUGGACAACCAACCAACUUGCAUGAAACUUGUAUUCAUUGAGUUGUGAAAUUAAAUAGUUUCCCUAUCUUGGUAUGAACAUUAACACACUUGGAAACCAACAUGUUGAAGAGUGUGUAGUUCUCUUCAAAUGUGGGGCUUGGGCUUGUUUUAACUUCAAUUUCAAACCAACAUACCCCCUGACAAACCAUUCAAAAUCAAUUCAUAAAGCAAAAAUCUAAAAUAUUGAUUAACAAAAAAACUUUAGAAACAGUUUUAGUCCCUUAUUUUUCCAAAUUCACGAUUUUGGUCCUAAAGUUCUAUUUUUCACGAAGUUGGUCUCUGCACUUAAAUUUUUUACAUUUUUGGUCCCCUCACUUUUCGCCUUUGGUUCCUCAAUUUUGAGGUUUUUCAGAACUUUGUCCCUCACAAGACGAUUUUAACUUUCUACAGACCACGAGUUUCAAAAAACUUCAAUACUGAGGACCAGAAAGUACAAAUAAAAUAAUAUCAAGACCAAAUUGGCAAAGAUGGCAUGUGUGUGGCGACCAAAUUCAUGGAAACUAAAUAGGAAACCAAAAUUGUGAAUUAACAAAUAGGCGGACGGUGCAUUUAAUCCCAAUAAUUUAAUCCAUAAUCAAGACAGAACAGACCAACCCAACCCAGAACUUUGACACCUUUAAACAAUUACGCAAUCAAUCUAACUCACCAAUCUGAAAAAACAUAAACAUGUAAUAAAACAAAACACACAACACAACACAACACAGUGUGAUAAUUAGGAAUAACUAAGCAUUGUUGAUCACAAAGCUAAGCUCACCCAGAGUAAUAAUCCUUUGGUAUGUAGACAUCACGAACAGGUCCAAAUCGCUCGAACGGGACUCGAAGUUCAUCAGGUCUACAAUCUAGAGGAAUGUUCCGAACCAAAAGGCUUCCAUUGUUGCUUUCUCUGCGCCUACCUCCACCACCACCACCGCCACCGCCACCGCCACCGCCAGAAAGUACAAAUAAAAUAAUAUCAAGACCAAAUUGGCAAAGAUGGCAUGUGUGUGGCGACCAAAUUCAUGGAAACUAAAUAGGAAACCAAAAUUGUGAAUUAACAAAUAGGCGGACGGUGCAUUUAAUCCCAAUAAUUUAAUCCAUAAUCAAGACAGAACAGACCAACCCAACCCAGAACUUUGACACCUUUAAACAAUUACGCAAUCAAUCUAACUCACCAAUCUGAAAAAACAUAAACAUGUAAUAAAACAAAACACACAACACAACACAACACAGUGUGAUAAUUAGGAAUAACUAAGCAUUGUUGAUCACAAAGCUAAGCUCACCCAGAGUAAUAAUCCUUUGGUAUGUAGACAUCACGAACAGGUCCAAAUCGCUCGAACGGGACUCGAAGUUCAUCAGGUCUACAAUCUAGAGGAAUGUUCCGAACCAAAAGGCUUCCAUUGUUGCUUUCUCUGCGCCUACCUCCA
rnacentral:lncRNA from 1 species